rnacentral:rRNA from 1 species
AAGCGGAGGAAAAGAAACUAACUAGGAUUCCCUUAGUAAAGGCGAUCGAAGAGGGAAGAGCCCAAUAUCUUAAUCCCGCAAGGGACAUGUAGACAUUGAUCUUAUUGCCACAGUCUAAGCACGUUGAAUAAUGCGCGAUACAGAGUGAUAGCCUCGUUAGACUACCGGCAAGUUUCGGUACAUUGGAGUGAGUCGGGUACUUUGAGAGUGGUGCCCUAAGUAGGUGGUAUGCCCCAUCCAAGGCUAAAUACUGUGAGGAGACCGAUAGAUUACAAGUAGUGUGAACGAAAG